rnacentral:rRNA from 1 species
CAGGACGAACGCUGGCGGCGUGCCUAAUACAUGCAAGUCGAGCGAAUCAUUAGGAGCUUGCUCCUGAUGGUUAGCGGCGGACGGGUGAGUAACACGUGGGCAACCUGCCUGUAAGACUGGGAUAACUUCGGGAAACCGGAGCUAAUACCGGAUAAUCCUUUUCCUCUCAUGAGGAAAAGCUGAAAGACGGUUUCGGCUGUCACUUACAGAUGGGCCCGCGGCGCAUUAGCUAGUUGGUGAGGUAACGGCUCACCAAGGCGACGAUGCGUAGCCGACCUGAGAGGGUGAUCGGCCACACUGGGACUGAGACACGGCCCAGACUCCUACGGGAGGCAGCAGUAGGGAAUCUUCCGCAAUGGACGAAAGUCUGACGGAGCAACGCCGCGUGAACGAUGAAGGCUUUCGGGUCGUAAAGUUCUGUUGUUAGGGAAGAACAAGUACCGGAGUAACUGCCG